rnacentral:tmRNA from 1 species
GGGGUAGCAAUGGUUUCGACAUGUAUUACUAAGUAUGAUUGCAAGUGGUUGACAAACCUAAAAUGUAUUUUAAUUUUAAAUGACGAAGCUGAAUUAAGCUUUGCUCCUGCAUUUGCCUAAUAGAAGGUUUGGGAGCACUUUUACUUAUUUUUUCUUAUAGGGUAAGAUAAAGGUUCAUAGAUAUAAGAUAUAAUAUAAUAUUUGUUUAUGAUAUUGUAUUGAAUUAUUAAUAAACUUACUAAUUAUAAGGUUAGUUUAGAGCCAUUUAAUUAGGAAAUUUAAAUCUAACUAAACUUGUAGAUAUUGUACAAUAGAAUAUAUUGGACAGGAGUUCAAUUCUCCUCUACUCCACCA